UCCCAGAAAUUGGGAUGCGGUAUUUUCCAAGCACAUAGCUUACUGGUAUAUGAGGACACCAUUUCUGAGUGACUGGGC
rnacentral:snoRNA from 1 species